AGAGUUUGAUCAUGGCUCAGGAUGAACGCUAGCGAUAGGCUUAACACAUGCAAGUCGAGGGGCAUCACGAGGUAGCAAUACUUUGGUGGCGACCGGCGUACGGGUGCGUAACACGUAUGCAACCUUCCUGUAAGUGUGGGAUAGCCUCCUGAAAGGGAGAUUAAUACCUCAUGAUAUGUAUUUGCUGCAUGGCAUUUACAUUAAACAUUUAUGGCUUACAGAUGGGCAUGCGUUCCAUUAGGCAGUUGGUGUGGUAACGGCUCACCAAACCUACGAUGGAUAGGGGUUCUGAGAGGAAGGUCCCCCACACUGGAACUGAGACACGGUCCAGACUCCUACGGGAGGCAGCAGUGAGGAAUAUUGGUCAAUGGGCGCGAGCCUGAACCAGCCACGUCGCGUGAAGGAUGACGGCCUUAUGGGUUGUAAACUUCUUUUACAGGGGAAUAAAGUGAGUCACGUGUGAUUUUUUGCAUGUACCCUGUGAAUAAGCAUCGGCUAACUCCGUGCCAGCAGCCGCGGUAAUACGGAGGAUGCGAGCGUUAUCCGGAUUUAUUGGGUUUAAAGGGUGCGUAGGCGGGAUAUUAAGUCAGCGGUGAAAGUUUUCGGCUCAACCUUAAAAUUGCCGUUGAAACUGUUAUUCUUGAGUGCAGUAGAGGUAGGCGGAAUUCGUUGUGUAGCGGUGAAAUGCGUAGAUAUAACGAGGAACUCCGAUUGCGUAGGCAGCUUACUAUAUUGCUACUGACGCUGAGGCACGAAAGUGUGGGUAUCAAACAGGAUUAGAUACCCUGGUAGUCCACACAGUAAACGAUGAAUACUAGCUGUUUGCGAUAUAUUGUAAGCGGCCGAGCGAAAGCAUUAAGUAUUCCACCUGGGGAGUACGUCGGCACGAUGAAACUCAAAUGAAUUGACGG
rnacentral:rRNA from 1 species